rnacentral:rRNA from 2 species
AGUUCCUUGAACCGCAUGGUUCAAGGAUGAAAGACGGUUUCGGCUGUCACUUACAGAUGGACCCGCGGCGCAUUAGCUAGUUGGUGGGGUAAUGGCUCACCAAGGCAACGAUGCGUAGCCGACCUGAGAGGGUGAUCGGCCACACUGGGACUGAGACACGGCCCAGACUCCUACGGGAGGCAGCAGUAGGGAAUCUUCCGCAAUGGACGAAAGUCUGACGGAGCAACGCCGCGUGAGUGAUGAAGGUUUUCGGAUCGUAAAGCUCUGUUGUUAGGGAAGAACAAGUGCGAGAGUAACUGCUCGCACCUUGACGGUACCUAACCAGAAAGCCACGGCUAACUACGUGCCAGCAGCCGCGGUAAUACGUAGGUGGCAAGCGUUGUCCGGAAUUAUUGGGCGUAAAGGGCUCGCAGGCGGUUUCUUAAGUCUGAUGUGAAAGCCCCCGGCUCAACCGGGGAGGGUCAUUGGAAACUGGGAAACUUGAGUGCAGAAGAGGAGAGUGGAAUUCCACGUGUAGCGGUGAAAUGCGUAGAGAUGUGGAGGAACACCAGUGGCGAAGGCGACUCUCUGGUCUGUAACUGACGCUGAGGAGCGAAAGCGUGGGGAGCGAACAGGAUUAGAUA